GUGUCGCCCCAGACACAUUUGGACACACGCUCUUUGAAUUACCGUAACUCCUGAACCGUCUGCUCCAUUUUAAAAAUUUCAACAGUUUCCGAAAGCUGAGACAUUGCGCUUUCUUGUGAGUAUUGGUUCAUUACGGUAAUUCUACCCAGAAGCCCGCGGGGGGCUCCGUUGUUUACCGGUGAGACAGACGGAGCGGAGGAGAGAUGCAGAGACCGGAGCGGUCGAGAAGAGUUUUUAUAACAGCGAAAAAAAUAAGAAAAAUGUCUGAAAGACGACCAUCGUGGCAAAUAUAACCUUCAUGGAGGUUCAGAAAAGACUUUGGGACCGAAGGAGCAACAAUAAGGAGUCAUUUUUGGCGAGAAAAGUGUCCUGUGGGCUGCAGCUGAUGAUGCUGGAGGACCAAAGAUGAGAAAACGUGAGGAUGCUGGAGGUUCUGGUGAUCUGGUCAGAGAUCAAAGCUGCUGAUCACAUCAACAGCAGUGGAAGAGAUGCAGAACCAUCUGAUGGAGAUCCUCAUCCACUGAGAUUCAACCCCAGACGGAUCUCAGGUGUAAAAUUCAUCUCUAAAUACAGAAAACCAUCACCAGGUGAAAUCUUUUCCCACUGAUGCUGCAAACUCUGCACCAAGAGCACUUCCUGGAAGUUUGGGACUCUGGACUGUCACUGGCAGCAUCACCAAGACCUUUGAGGAGCCAAAGAGGACAGCUCUCCCCUGUGUGACCAAAAACGCCUGGAAAUAUUUGGCAUUUUAUGCACUGGUUUUUUGCACAAUUAGAGGGAAACAUACAGAAAUGUUGUUGUAAAUUGUUUGACAUUAAAUAAAUUUAAUCUUUUAACAAACAAAACCUGUUGUUCAUGUACAUUUGCACUGUUUUUCUCACUAAAAACUCUAAAAAUCA